rnacentral:rRNA from 1 species
AUUGAACGCUGGCGGAAUGCUUUACACAUGCAAGUCGAACGGCAGCACGGACUUCGGUCUGGUGGCGAGUGGCGAACGGGUGAGUAAUGUAUCGGAACGUGCCCAGUCGUGGGGGAUAACGUAGUGAAAAUUACGCUAAUACCGCAUACGAUCUAUGGAUGAAAGCGGGGGAUCGCAAGACCUCGCGCGAUUGGAGCGGCCGAUAUCAGAUUAGGUAGUUGGUGGGGUAAAGGCCCACCAAGCCAACGAUCCGUAGCUGGUCUGAGAGGACGGCCAGCCACACUGGAACUGAGACACGGUCCAGACUCCUACGGGAGGCAGCAGUGGGGAAUUUUGGACAAUGGGCGAAAGCCUGAUCCAGCCAUUCCGCGUGCAGGAUGAAGGCCCUCGGGUUGUAAACUGCUUUUGUACAGAACGAAAAGGUUUCUACUAAUACUAGGAGCUCAUGACGGUACUGUAAGAAUAAGCACCGGCUAACUACGUGUCAGCCGCCGCAGUAA